rnacentral:lncRNA from 1 species
GAGGAGGAGGAGAACACGAACAAGAAGAAGGUGAUCCCGCAGUACAGAUCAGUAAUUCCAGCACUGGGGAGGUGGAAACAGGAGGAUCUCUGGGGGUCAUUAGCCUGCCAAUCUAGCCAAAUUGUGAGCUCCAGAUUCACUGAGAGAUACUGUCUCAAACAAGAAGCUAGAGAGUUAUAGAAGAAAGUGCCUCUGGCCUCAACACACACAUGCACACACAUACACACACACACACAUACACAGUCACAUAUACUCAUUCACACAGAGAUAUACAUGCACACAAAUUCCAUUUUUAAAAAAUAAGAAAACUGACACAAAACACAUCAUAUAACCUAUCCAAGGUAAUGGGACUAUUUAAAAGUAGCUUUCAGCAAAUAAAGGUUUAGAGCUACAAAUUCAUUUUACUCAACUCCAAUUAGGUCCAUGAACAUACGGUUAUUUGUGCAUACAUACAUGUUUGCACACUCUGAAAGCAGCAUCAUAUAUACUGAAAAAAUUCUGAAUUUUGAGUCACAGAAGUGUGAUCUUUAACACAGUGUCCUGUAUAUGACCUCUGUGUGACUGUGAGAGAAGCUGAGUACCAAAGGCCCGCCUUCCAGCCAGUGACGUCUUGGAAACACUAAGCCCGAAGCAUUUCCAUCUUUCUCUGAAGAGCCAUGUGUGUGUCCUCUUCAACCGGCUCGGCACUUUUGUUUUAAUGUGCCUCUGCCUCGCUUUUGAAUCAUCUCAAUUCAGGCUCCCUAACAGGAAAAAAAUAAAAAUAAAAUAAAAAUAAAAAACCUCAAGUCAUCAAAACAGACUUCCUUCAUUAAAAAGAGUCUCAGAAAUGACAAUGGUCUCCAUCAAUCGUUUGAGAAAACAAGGUUUUGUUUGCCUGUACAGAUCUAACCUAAAUGUAGACCAGCAUAUGAAUUCAGAACUCUCAUCUUUCUACGGAUAAACACAAGUGGAAAGGUUUAGAAAAUUCAUAACUGCCCUUGGGACAGACCUCAUAGAAGUUACAGUAAUGAGAGAGAUCAAAAGAAGGGAGGGCUUAGAGCCCAAGCUUUAAGUUCAAACAGACUUGAAUUCUAAUCCCAGCUCAUUGUCCGUUCCCCGUGUAACUAUGUUAUUCUUAGAUGAUUUAUUAUCCUCUCAUAAAGCAAAGACGCUCCCUCGCACAAGGGUCCACAAUAUUUCAAAGAGCCAAGUUUAAGAGGCUCGGGCUUCCCUUCCCCACCCAGAGCUCUUUCCUGGCAGAGCUGAGGAGCUGGGCCAGGCUCCAGGGAAGGGCAGAGCCUGCUGUUUCCCAUCACCUGCUGGACGACUUUCCCUCUUUCCCCCACAUAGCCUCCCUCCUCACCACACACCCUUUCCCCUUGCUCUUCCAAAUAUUUUUCUUUUAGUCUCGGACAGUUUCACUUCUCUCUACUUUCAUGCGUGAGUGAGAGGCGCAAACGUGCAACAACGAAAUAUUAAAAUUUUAAGUUCCAGGUGUCUGGGGAAAUUAGGAUUAACAAGAAGCAGCAGAGCUGAGAGCCUGUAACUGUCCAGAGGCUCUUCAGAAGCUCUGUAAAAAGCAUAGAGUAGUAAGGCUUUGCAAACUGACCUGACCUGUUCGCCUCGAAGUUCUGCCUCUUAACUAUUAGUAUAUUCUUGGAAAAACCUGAAAGGCCCAGGGUUCCUUUCUCUUUUACUGUGAAAGUGGGGGAACUAGACAAAAGCAUUCACAUAUGGCACUUAGAAUCUAUAGGCAAAAUGUGUCUGUGGACUGUUAUAAACCCCACCUCCCUCCUCAUCGCCCCUGAACCUUGCUUUCCAGUGGCCACUACGUUCCAAGUUACACUUUGCUACGGUAGUAUAUGGAGCAAAGAGACCCUCCCUGGCUUUCUUAUGUAACUAUAAUCAGCUUUCCCAUGUGCUAGUGAAAUCCACCCUUGGAAGGUAAACCCUGAGAAGAGAUGGGUGGGUAAACACUUCCUAAUUUGAAAACUUGGCAGACAACUGGAUCAUGGCCAUUUCACAGGUUUGUAUGAGAAGGCUUCAGAGUCAGCCUUCUGUGGACAUAGGCCCGUCUGUUCAUUUCUACCGUCCACUGGGUUCCAACCCACUCCCCUCUUAUAACUUUAGAGACAAAACUAAGAGGCAAUGCAGCGAUGGUGUGGGAAGCAGAGAUCUGGGAUUGUACAGGGGGCUUCCAGAAGACAUUCCUGGGUGAAGUGAAAAUUAUGAAAAAAACAAAAAAAAACAAAAAAGCGGAGCAGCCAGAUCCCAGGCUGCGUACACUUCAGCAAGGCUGAAAUCAUGAACAGGUUUUCUCUUGUAGACUCCUGUGUGAGGUAGGUCCUAGGACUGCCAACAAGUGCCCUGCAUGAUGCACUUGAAGGUUCAGAUCUGAGGCAGCCUCUCCAAUAAAGGCUAUCUGCCAUCUAAUGUACCUGUUUUCCAAGCAUGAAAUUGGGAAUUAAAGCCUCUGCCCUUGGCUUCUGUUUCUCCUUGUAACUCUAGAAAUUAGCCUGUUCUGAUGAGUGUCUGCUUUUGUUUGUUUUUUAAUGCAGAAAGAAAUCAAGAAACUAUAAGCUUAGGGGAUGAAAUGUUUCAUUGUAAAUGUCUGCGACAAAACUGAUACAUUUGUAUUAGCAAAGUGUAAACUGUCUUUCUGGCUCGGAGAAGCAAAUUGUCUCAUUUUUCUUCUGAAUGCCCAAGAUAGCAUUCACCACCAUGGCUUUUGGUAGGACUUCCCUGUUUUGCCUUCUUCUUGCCUACUUCUUAUGGGAGAAAUAAGUUAGAUCCCAUACAAAAUGUUUCUUCAUCGUCUCCAAUAAAGGAUCAUUUUAAUAAAUUGUGAGGUGGACCUUUGGCUGAGUAUUUCAGUAUUGAGCAUUGAGCGGUUAUGAAUUGAGCGUGCAUCUCCCACACAUGCACGGCUUCUUUCACGAUCUAGUGAUUAAUCAAAUUCAAAUCUGGGCAAACUUUUGAUAACAUGCAUCGAAGUGGAUGUGAUUUGAUAGGAUGGAAGGUUUACACAACCCAGGAAAUGAGAUUUGUUUGGAACUUUGCUGGCGUACAUGCCUUUCCCUUUGAGUCAGAGUUCCCUAGAUGUUAGUGUUAUGGGAAAAGAAUCUGCUCCCUCCCAUCGACACCACCACCACCACCACCACCACCGGACUGCUUACUUUGUUUUUCCAUUUUAGCUCUUUGUCAUGCUAAGGUAGUCAGAAGGGAAUUCCACAUUUGUUACUUGGAGAUGUCAAAGACGUAAAAGGGAUGAGGGUUUGGCUCUGAAUACAAUGUGUUUUCUUCGAAGGAGAACUCAGUACUGCCUUCUAGUUCUAACAGCUUUCCUGCCUCCAUCUGAGAAGCAUGUAUUGUCAUCCCGGAGCCAUAAAGGGAACACGGCAGGAAAGCUACAGGCAAAGCCCUACCUGCUGGUGAAGCCUGACUUCUGGCUCCCAUGACGAGGUCUAGACCUGCAUGCUUGAGCUGGCUCCAUUCUCAGGCUCCUUUUCAUAGCUCCAUGAUCUCUGCCAGUUCCCAAGGCUACCUCCCUCCUCACUUGUAAUCAGAAAAGGACCUAUUCCCUGUGGCUCAAUGAAGGGCCUGGAAUUAAUUCUCUCUACUGAUAGGACUUGGAGCAUGUAAUAACUCUUAACCAAUCUGAGAGUCCAUAAAAUCCAUGAAGAUUUAGGCCAAUCACAACUCACCUUGGCAGCCUGAAAGGGUCCAGUAUGUGAGGCUGAGAAUUUUCGCACUUUGGGAGG